CCCUCAGCUGAGCCCGUGUAUACUCCAGGGGACCCAGGCACCCCUGCUGGGGAACAAGUCCAGGCCAAAAAGCCAUCUCUAGGAAUGCUGGCUUGGAGCAUCCGUGUAAGCGGGAGGGCAGCACCGCAUCCCUGGGCCCCGGGAUGAGUGUGUGUGUUGUGAGUCACCACAGCGGCCCAGGAAAAAUAAAUAAAUAAGGAGAGGGUCAGGCCUGCUCUCGCGGCGGUCUGGGGUACCAGGGUUCAAAGAGACACGGGCUCUUCCAAGAAGCUGAAGAUGGACUUGUGAGAUAAGGAGAUGAGGCCAAGCCCACGUGCUAGAAGCAGAAAUGCAAACUGCACACGGGGCGGCGAAGGGGGGACUGGAGGGGCCGCCUUGGACACAGGAAAUACCAAGAGCAGCGCCAGCUGCAACAGGACCAGGGCCAGCACCAGGACCGGGACCAGGACCAGCAGGCCCAGUACCAGCACCAGGCCCAGCACGACCAGCAACACCAGCACAGGGGCCUGUACGAGGACCAAGAGCAAGCCAGUAGCACGGUUCACCAUCUAACCGGAAAACUGAAAUAAAACCACGAAGAGUCACUCUCUGAUCUGAUCAAGUGAGAUACAGAAAUGCGAUGCCUACUGUGUAAGGCAAACGUGCUUCCUGACCUCAGAGAGACUGCUUUCCAGCGGGGGAGAAAGACAAGAGAUCAGAGAACCUGCUUUCUCCUCCCCGUGUGCUGGGAAGACGCGGAUCGGCUGCUUUGGAAUCCCCACGCCUUCCGGCACACGCUCCCCCCCUGCACACACCGGAUUCAUCACUCAGAGGAUGGGGGCGAUGAGGCGGGCUUCGGGGGUAUGAAUCGCAAUGCUGCGCUCAGUCACUAGCCGUGGGCACACCCCUUAAGUUCUUUAGAAGUUUCCUUGUCGGGGCACCUGGGUGGCUCAGUCGGUUACACAUCCGACUUCGGCUCGGGUCAUGAUCUCACGGUUGGUGGGUUCAAGCCCCGCA